CAACAAUGUUUUGAAAUCCUAAUCCCCUGUCCUCCUUUGGUUCACAUAAUAAAUCCCAUUUAAUCCAGUUAAUACUAUGAGCCAUCCCCGCUUUAGCCCACCAAAAGUGACGAACAUGCUUUAAAAUAGAUUGACAAAGCUUAUGGGGCAACCUAAAGCAUGACAAAGCUUAUGGGGCAACCUAAAGCAUGACAAAGCUUUCGCCACUUAAAUGACGCCAACCCUCGUAUCGUUUAUAACACAAAGCCGCGCAACAUCCAUCUUCUCUCUCUUCAACCUCUCUACAAUGCAUCGUCUCUCUCUUCAACCUCUCUGAUCUCGUCUAUAACGUUAAAUUAGCUGUACAAGGGUUUUGACCUUUUAUCUCCGGAUUCUCCUCUUAUUUGAAGAGCCCUCUCUCAGAUUUCUUCAAGCCAUAUCUGCACUUCUUUCCUCACAAUUGUCUCUCUGUUCAGAUCACUGAAGACUUCAUUCAGACUUUCGACCUUUUUAAUCUCUCUCAAGAUUGAAGCAGAGAGAAAAUUGAAGAAGCUACGCUGUGUCUCUCUCUUGCUCUUGAGGUAAGCAAAAAAAGUCAUGGCCUUGUGGGAUGGAAGCACAUAUUUUUACAAGUGAUUCUUAUCCAAGUUCUAAAACUGAUGAAGAAGGUUAUCCAUUCAGAUAAACUGUCCUUUUAUAUGUGUCUUAGACUGUGACAAAAGGAACAACUCCUGAGGUGGGUGGUCAGCAGGGAAUAAUAAUGCUCAGAUACCAUUGACAAUAAUAAUUAGAGUGGUCCUCUUGCAUUGCUCUGGUUUAUGUUAUGAAAAGAUUUGCAUAUGGUUUUCUAAAGGAUACUUCCUACUUAUUGAGGGAAUGGUGAAGGGUGUUGCCACCUAGUUUUGGAGGAGGAGUUCGUCAUUUGCUUGUUGAUCUCUUGGUGUGUCGAUUUCUUUCUUGUAUGCAGGAAUGGAAUUGCUGUAGAUGUGAGUUGUUAUUGUAAUAGUAGUCAGGUUGUGCAACUUUAUGUUAUUUUUGUAGUUUCUCUACAGUCUAAUUGGAUGACAUUAUUGAA